AAUAAAAAAUGAUAGCCAAGGUCACCAGAAGCCGGACUGCUGCGCUCCCAAAUGCUCUAAGUUGACAAUGUCAGAAGAGCAUCCAGGAAUGCGGUGGAGGGUCUGGAGGGCUUCUUCUCCUUAGAAGGACCGAUGGUGUGACUUCCUCUUUCUAAAACAUCUCUGCAUAACUAAAUAGCAGGGGCCUUCAAUUUCCUGAAAAGAAACAUCUGUGGCUUCCGUUUUAGGUGAAAAGCUUUGUUUAUCAAAAUGAGAGCCGAAGUGAAUACCUGGAGAGUGGCUUAACUGAAAAGAUUUUUGUAAUCAUGGUCAGAAGUGAACGGUACUAUUAUCAGCGCUCGGCAUAUCUGACUACAAGACGAGGGAAUGGAGGGCCAGAAUGGUGACCUCCACUGGAGGCUGAGAAACCAGACUUCCGCACCAGGCAAGGAUGCAUGCAUAGGAC